rnacentral:rRNA from 1 species
UGAGGAAUCUUCCACAAUGGGCGAAAGCCUGAUGGAGCAACGCCGCGUGCAGGAUGAAGGCCUUCGGGUCGUAAACUGCUUUUAUAAGUGAAGAAUAUGACGGUAACUUAUGAAUAAGCACCGGCUAACUACGUGCCAGCAGCCGCGGUCAUACGUAGGGUGCAAGCAUUAUCCGGAGUGACUGGGCGUAAAGAGUUGCGUAGGUGGUUUGUUAAGUGAAUAGUGAAACCUGGUGGCUCAACCACACAGACUAUUAUUCAAACUGGCAAACUCGAGAGUAGCAGAGGUAACUGGAAUUUCUAGUGUAGGAGUGAAAUCCGUAGAUAUUAGAAGGAACACCAAUGGCGUAGGCAGGUUACUAGGCUAUUUCUGACACUGAGGCACGAAAGCGUGGGGAGCGAACC